AUGGGGGAGCAGAUAGCGUUUCUGCAGCUGAGCAUGGUGGGUGGAAGGGUAAGGGGCUGCCCCAGGAGCUUUGGGGAGGCAGGUAGACCUUGUGCAGCUUCUGCCACGAACCCGAAAGUCUACGCUCUGCCUCCCAGCUGUGGGGACACACCUAGUUCCACAGUGGUCGUGGGCUGCCUGGUCUCGAGUUACUUCCCUGAGCCAGUGACUGUGACCUGGAGCCCGGGUGCCCAGCCCAGCAACGUGCACACCUUCCCAUCCGUCCUCGGGUCCUCGGGCCUGUACUCUCUCAGCAGCACUGUGACCGUGCCUGGCAGCACCUCGUCCGGCAAGACCUUCACCUGCAACGUAGCCCACCCGGCCAGCAGCACCAAGGUGGACAAGCGCAUUGGGAGGGGGUGUCCGAUAUGUCCACCCCCUGAGCUCCCAGGAGGACCGUCCGUCUUCAUCUUCCCCCCGAAACCCAAGGACAUCCUCACAAUAUCCCGAAAACCGGAAGUCUCCUGCAUGGUGGUGGAUGUGAGCAAGGACGACCCCGAUGUCCAGUUCUCCUGGUACGUGGACGAUGUAGAGUUGCGAACGGCCAAGACGAAGCCAAAGGAGCAGCAGUUCAACAGCACCUACCGUGUGGUCAGCGCCCUGCCCAUCCAGCACCAGGACUGGCUGAAGGGGAAGGUGUUCACGUGCAAGGUCAACAACAAAGGCCUCCCGGCCCCCAUCGUGAGGACCAUCUCCAAGGCCAAAGGGCAGCCCCGGGAGCCGCAGGUGUACGUACUGGCCCCAGCGCGGGAAGAGCUGGCCAAGAGCUCGGUCAGCGUAACCUGCAUGGUCAUCGCCUUCUACCCGGCCGACAUCGACGUGGGGUGGCACAGAAACGGGCAGCCGGAGCCAGAGGGCAACUACGGCACGACCCCGGCCCAGCUGGACGCCGACGGCUCCUUCUUCCUGUACAGCAGGCUCAGGGUGGACAAGAGGAGCUGGCAGCGCGGAGACACCUACACGUGUGUAGUGUUGCACGAGGCGCUACACAACCACAACUCGCAGAAGUCCAUCACCCAGUCUUCGGAGCUGCAGCUAGAGGAGAGCUGUGCUGACGCCCAAGACGGGGAGCUGGACGGGCUGUGGACGACCAUCUCCAUCUUCAUCACCCUCUUCCUGCUCAGCGUGUGCUACAGCGCCACCGUGACGCUCUNUCAGGUGAAGUGGAUCUUCUCGUCGGUGGUGGAGCUGAAGCAGACGAUUGUCCCUGACUACAGGAACAUGGGCGGGCAGGGUGCCUAG